rnacentral:tRNA from 1 species
CUGCCUGUGGCCUAGUGGGCAAGGUUACAGUCUUGCAGACUGUAACCUUGGGUCGCAGGUCCAAGCCCAGCUAGGAACA